UCCUCUCCUCCCCCUCCUCCCGCACGCACACACCUGGAGCAUGGCGGCGGCGCGAGGAACCAACCGUCGCCGGCGCCGCCCUGCAGCUCCUCUCCCUCUGACCCUCUCCGCCACCCGUCCCCCAGCUCCCUCCGUGCGCCGCCCUCCUCCUCCCUAGGCUCGUGGCUAGGCAGCCCGACGCCCUCACUCCCGCUCGUCGGCGCCUGGCUGGCCGCCCGACGCCUCGGCUCCCGCGCCAACCAGCCCAACGGCACAACUCCGGUCAGAGGGAUCAGUUCGCCGGCCUCCCCUGCUCCAUUGCAACCUCACCUAGCUCGUCCAUCUGCUCGGGUUCGUCCCGGAUCAGCCCGACGGCGGCGCUCCAUUGCUUGGCACCGACCGGACCAGCUCACGGCCUCCCCUGCAACCUCGCCUUCGAGUGGUUGUUCUGCCUCCAACCCUCCAGUACAUCCCUGGCGGCAAAAGAGUCGAUUCGAUGGGCGAUUUCAAAGUAGAAAUAGAUGUUCAGUCCUACUUGAUGAUUGUAGACGGCAAAAGAGUUUACAGAAGGGGCAAAAGAUGGGAUUUCAUGGUCGAUCAGGACUUGUCUGUGGCGCGGAUAAAGGAGGUUGUGGAGGAGAAGUUCAAGUGGUCUGAUCAGAGAAUGACCAUUUGGUAUGGAACAGGAUAUAACACCAUCCCAUUGAUCUCUAAAUCAGAGAUAGCUGAAUUGUUUGAUAGGUGUUCUAACACAAAAAUAGUGAGGUUUGGUGUGACCAUUGAGAACAAACAACAACACAAGGAACAAGCUCCUGUCAUGGCCGAGGAUAUGGAUGAUCAACCUAUUCAUGCUCCAUUCUUUGCUUGGCUGAAGCAAGCCUAUGAAGGUGAGUAUGAGGAUGAUGAGCCUGUAGGAUGCGGUGAGGAGAACACCUAUUUGCAUGAGAAUGCGGAGUCAAAGGAGAAUGCCGAGCCACAGAAAAAUGUCGAGCCAAAGGCUGCAAGAGUACCAUUGGGAACACUAGAUGUUGACAACUCUUAUGAUCCACAUCAUGUGCGAGGGGAUGAUGAGACAUUACUCGCAAACAAUGUGGCUCCUACUUAUCUCCACGAUAAAAACAAUCUCUCGAGUUGAAGUAGGAGCUACACUUCCUAACUCCAAAGCAUUUAGAGUUGCAUUGAGACAACUAGCAAUUAGAGAAGAUUGGUCCUUUGACACGCAGUAUAGUGACACUAAAAAAUUCAGGGCUAGUUGCACCGAUGAGGAUUGUCCAUGGAGGAUGCAUGCCUCCAAGUUACCGAACACUAACACUUUCAUGGUAAAGAAACUUCCCUUUGAACAUACUUGUGGGAGCAAAAAAUGCAGCAAAGGAAUGGCAAAUAGAGAUUGGAUCGCUGAUAAAGGGAAGGCUGCACUUGAGGAGUAUGACACGGUGAGUGCAAAACAACUUAAAGAACGCUUGCAAAGGGAGUAUGAUAUUAAGCUUCAAUACACCGAUGUUUGGAAAGGGAGAGCUCAUGCAAAGGAUCAAUUAGAAGGUACAUAUAAAGAGAAUUUUCAGUUGUUGUGGAACUUUAGAGCCGAAUUGUUGGCAGCCAAUCCUGAAAGUAUAUUUGAGAUAGACGAUAAAAACAACUACCAAUAGUGGGUGAAAUUGUGCGUGUUUUCAAUAGGUUGUUCAUUGCCUUCAAGCCAUGCAUUGAUUGGUUUUUGGCAGGGUGUAGACCAUAUUUGGGGGCUGAUGCAACUUUUCUUUGUGGGAAAUACACUAGCCAAUUGGCAGCCGCAAUUGGUGUAUAUGGGCAUAGUUGGAUGUUUCCGGUAGCAUUUGGAAUAUUUGAGAAAGAAAAUACAGAAAAUUGGGUAUGGUUCAUGGAGCAGUUGAAAUUGGCUAUUGGAGAACCACAAGGGCUUGCAAUCCAUACCGAUGCAUGCAAGGGGUCGGAGAAUGCCAUUUCUAAGGUCUACCCAAAUUAUGAAUAUAGAGAAUGCAUGAUGCAUCUAAUGCUCAACUUCAAGAAAAAGUUCAAAGGUGACAUACUAGAUAAUAUGUGGCCUGUAGCUUGGACAUAUGAAGUAGAGAAGCAUGAUUCACUAAUGGCAUAAAUACAAGCACAAAGCGCCGAAGCAAUAGCCUAUUUGAACAUGCAUCACGAGUGUGUGUGGACAAGAAGCAAAUUUUCAGCAAUGACAAAAGUUGAGUAUGUUAGCAAUAAUUUGGCAGAGGUUUUCAACAAUUGGAUUAAGGAUGUGAAGCAACUUGCACUUGUUGAGCUUUUGGACAACCUUAGAGAAAUGAUAAUGAUAUUGUUCGAGAAAAGGAGAGCCGUUGGUGAAGCGCUGCUAGGUUACAUACUACCUAGUGUGAUAAAGGAGUUGAAUAUGAAAAGUAAGGGGCUGCAUUAUUUGGAAGCAAGAGCAUCGCCAAAUAUAGCUGAGAUUUUAGGAAAUGGAUGGAGGCACAUCGUUAACUUGGAGAAAAAUGAGUGCUCUUGUAGAAGAUGGCAGAUUUGUGGUAAACCUUGCACACAUGCUCUCCGGUUCGUCUUCUCCAAAAAAGCCAAGCUAGAGGAUUAUGUUGCAGAGUGCUUCUCAGUGGCAAGGUUCCAAGCGGGAUGUGAUGGAGUUCUCAUGCCAAUUAGGGGCAGAUCCCAAUGGACCAAGGUAAAUCCUGGAUUUGAUAUGAUCCUUCCCAAACUUACCAAGAGUGAUGGAGGUCCAAGAACUAGGAGGAUAAAGAAUUACACCAAAGGUGGAACCAGUAGAAGACACAAAUGCAAAAGAUGUGGAGCAACAGGCCAUCUUCGAAAGACAUGCAAGGAGCCUGAGAUGAAAAGUGAUGCGGAUCGAGAUGCUACUCCUCCUCCGCGGUAUUUAUUUCGAAAAAGUCAAAGGCUGAAGCAAGCAUUGCGACUACUUCUCCUAAGACACCAACUAAGCAAGGUACUCAACUUGAUACUCCUACAAGUCCAAUGACAAGUGCUACGUCUUGAGCUUGCGUUGGUUUUCCUUGAAGAGGAAAGGGUGAUGCAGCAAUAGUAGCGUAAGUAUUUCCUUCAAUUUUUGAGAACCAAUGUAUCAAUCCAGUAGGAGGCUCCUCAAAAGUCCCACGCACCUACACAAACAAACAAAGAAAUCGCAACCAACGCAA